AGCGGCAGGCUUAACACAUGCAAGUCGAGGGGCAGCACGGGUAGCAAUACCUGGUGGCGGACCGGCGCAAGGGUGCGUAACGCGUGAGCAACAUGCCCUAUACAGGGGGAUAAUCCAGGGAAACUUGGUCUAAUAUCCCAUAGUAUUUAGAGGAGGCAUCUUCUAUAAAUUAAAGCUUCGGUGGUAUAGGAUUGGCUCGCGUGACAUUAGCUAGAUGGUGAGGUAACGGCUCACCAUGGCAAUGAUGUCUAGGGGUUCUGAGAGGAAGGCCCCCCACACUGGGACUGAGACACGGCCCAGACUCCUACGGGAGGCAGCAGUGAGGAAUAUUGGACAAUGGAUGGAAAUCUGAUCCAGCCAUGCCGCGUGCAGGAAGACAGCCCUAUGGGUUGUAAACUGCUUUUAUAUGGGAGCAAUAAGGUCUACGUGUAGACUGAUGAGAGUACCAUAUGAAUAAGCAUCGGCUAACUCCGUG
rnacentral:rRNA from 1 species